CCUUAAGGGUCAUACCAAGGUACUGUAGCUUACCCAGGUCUUCGUACUCCACAAAGUGCCUUGAAUCAAGCACUUCAUCAAGUUCUUCGAAGAUCCUACAAUAUGGAAUAUAUAUGAGUAAGUUGUGAGAUCUCCUUUGGGUAACACACUCAAAUUACCUAUGGAUGAAGUUCUAGAAGAUCCAGCAAGGCAGUCUUGGCAAAAUUACAGUAAUAGUAUCAGAUUACGACUUAAAAACUUCGUGGUUUAUUUCGGUGAGAAUCCCUUGACCUGCUAAUCGUUCUCCAUAGCAAUAUGAUAUCAAGUUAUAA